rnacentral:tRNA from 1 species
GCGCCCUUAGCUCAGCUGGAUAGAGCAACGGCCUUCUAAGCCGUGGGUCGGGGGUUCGAGUCCUCCAGGGCGCGCCA